UGGGGAAUAUUGGGCAAUGGACGAAAGUCUGACCCAGCAACGCCGCGUGAGUGAUGAAGGCCUUCGGGUUGUAAAGCUCUGUCGAGAGGAACGAAAAGUCCCGUUGAGGGAGAUUGACGGUACCUCUGAAGGAAGCACCGGCUAACUCUGUGCCAGCAGCCGCGGUAAUACAGAGGGUGCAAGCGUUGUUCGGAAUUACUGGGCGUAAAGCGCGUGUAGGCGGUAUGGUAAGUCGGGUGUGAAAUCCUCCAGCUCAACUGGAGACGUGCAUUCGAUACUGCCAAACUUGAGUGUCGGAGGGGAUGGUGGAAUUCCUGGUGUAGAGGUGAAAUUCGUAGAUAUCAGGAGGAACACCUGUAGCGAAGGCGACCAUCUGGACGACAACUGACGCUGAGACGCG
rnacentral:rRNA from 1 species